rnacentral:lncRNA from 1 species
AGGGCCAUUCUAUGGGGCCAUUCCAUAGGGCUACUUAAUGUGGCUAUUCUAUAGGGCCAUAUGUAUGGGGUUAUUCUAUAUGGCCAUUCUAUGGGGCAAUUCUAUGGGGCCACUCUAUAGGGCCAUUCUAUGGGGCCAUUCCAUAGGGCCAUUCUAUGGGGCCACUCUAUAGGGCCAUUCUAUGGGGCCAUUCUAUGGGGCCAUUCUAUGGGGUCAUUCUAUGGGGCCAUUCUAUGGGGCCAUUCCAUAGGGUCAUUCUAUGGGGCCAUUCUAUGGGCCCAUUCCAUAGGGCCAUUCUAUGGGGUCAUUCUAUGGGGUCAUACCACAGGUCUAUGCUAUGGGGCCAUGCUAUGGGCUGGUGCUGUGGGGUCUGUGUGGGGCACUCUAUGGGUCUGUAUGGGGCCAUUUAUGGGUCCUGUAUGGGGCCUUCUAUGGGCCCACUCUAUGGGUCUGUAAUGGGGCCAUUCUAUGGGUCUGUAUGGGCCAUUCUAUGGGGCCAUUCUAUGGGUCUGUAUGGGGCCAUUCUAUGGGGCCAUUCUAUGGGGCCAUUCUAUGGGGUCUGUAUGGGGUAUCAAUGGGGUGGCACAAUGGGGAGGUUCUAUGGGGUGGCGCUAUGGGGUGGUGCUAUGUAUUGUCUCUAUGGGGUGGCCCUAUGGGCUGUCCCUAUGUGUUGGCCCUAUGGGGUGGUCCUAUGGGGUGAUGCUAUGGGGUGGCCCUAUGUGUUGGCCCUAUGGGGUGAUGCUAUGGGGUGGCCCUAUAGGUUGGCCCUAUGGGGUGGCCCUUUGGGUUGA